rfam:Ailuropoda melanoleuca scaffold1356_79, whole genome shotgun sequence.
UGCUCUGAUGAAAUCUCUUAUAGGAAGUGCCGUCAGAUGCGAUAACUGACGAUAACCAUUCCUGGCUGACU